GAUGAAGAACGCAGCGAAAUGCGAUACUUGGUGUGAAUUGCAGAAUCCCGUGAACCAUCGAGUCUUUGAACGCAAGUUGCGCCCGAAGCCACUAGGCCGAGGGCACGCCUGCCUGGGCGUCACACGUCGUUGCCCCCCCCCCAUCUACUCCUUCGGGAUUGCGGGGGGCGGAUGAUGGCCUCCCGUGCGCCUAGCCGCGCGGUUGGCAUAAAUACCAAGUCCUCGGCGACGCACGCCACGACAAUCGGUGGUGGCGAAACCCCGGUUGCCCGUCGUGUGCGUUCGUCGCGCAUCGAGGGCUCGAAAAAAUGCUCGGCUCCGGCUCGGCUUUCAACGCGACCCCAGGUCAGGCGGGGUUACCCGCUGAAUUUAAGCAUAUCAAUAAGCGGAGGA
rnacentral:misc_RNA from 1 species